rnacentral:lncRNA from 1 species
AAGUAAAACUGACCUUGUGGUCUUCUUGCACAGGGAGAACAAUGAACGCUAGUUCUGAAAAAUUGGAAGACUACUAUUAUAUAUUUGGGUCCUGCUCUUACAUUAUAAAUCACUAAAUAGUUUGGACCCAAUGUUAUGUAGCCAUUUCUUGUGCCUUUGGGAGCAAUUUAUGUGCUAGGUUCGCCUACAAUCUGCCUUUUACUGUACUUUAAUCAGCAGGCUAGACAUAUGGGAAAGAAGGGUAGGUAGUGUGGCAUCUGCCAGGCUGUGCUCCAACAGAGAAGAACAGCUAUGGAGUCCACAAGGAACAGCCAGUGGAAGUCUUCAAUGUCUGCCCAUUGGGAAAACAGCCACACUCUAUCUAAUGGCAGAGCCAGUCCUGUUAUGAGUUUGAGUGCUGCACAGCUACAGGCUGCUCAGAUGGGUUUCUAACUAUGUGAGGGAGAAAUUGGACUGAACUAGUGGGUAGAUACAGAUAGGCAGGGGUUGCGGAGAAGAUGCUUCUUUCAAAUCCACUUGGAGUUAAGCUGACUUGUGCUAUGCAGUGAAGCACUUCAAGCUUCGUGAACCUGUUUGUGCCUUAGCAGCAUCUGUCAUGAAUGAAUUUAAUGAAUGGUAAAGCUCUAGAAGAAUGUAUUCAGAUAAGCCUUGGAACACGAACAGAGCGUCUCCUUGGGAUGAGCAGUGUGUCGAUUUUGAAGCUGCUUUCAUAAUCAGUGUUCAUGCCAGCCCAGAGCCAAUGGCAAAGAAGCUGAAAUCAGAAGCAUCACAAUGUGAGAUCACACCAGCUGUGGAGGAUGCUGCCAUCUGGACAAGCCCUAAUUACUCUGUUUAAAGGAUGAGGCAUGCCUAAUCGAAAAAGGAUCAGAUCUGCUUCUCCACUCGUUUUUCUGAACAUGAACUGGGUGAUGAAAUGCUGCUAGUGACCUGCAGUUGGAUCUUUAGUGUACAACCUUAUACUCCAAUUGGAAAAGACACAGCUGCACUCUGCCUAGAUGUUUUUGAUUAUCAUAAGGCAUUUUCAGCUCAAAUGCCUGGAUUAUUACAGAUACAGUUAUGGAAUUAUGCAUUUAAUGCCUCCAGUUAUUAUAUAACAUAAGGUGAAAUUUUGAUUCCCUUCCCUUCUCCCUCUUGCCAUUUCAUCUCUUGUUCAUUUUUAUUUCCGGUGUAUUUUCUUUUCUUUUGUUAUUCAUCUUGGUCUUUAAUUCUCUCUGUUUUUAUUUUUCCUGUAUAUGUUAAAUAGGAAAAAAACUAUUUUUACUUAAGGAGCAUAUUUCUGAUUAGUAACAUUCAAAUGAAUGGCAGUUGAUGAAAUUAGAAGUGGAUACCUAAGAGAACAUAGAUGAUUUGUAAUCUUUACAACUAAGGUGAGAAUUUCAUCUGGUUGUCCCAAUCAGAGUAGAUCCACUUAAUCAGUGGGAUUUGCUUAGGUGUCAAAGCACCAUUCAGCAAUUGGGUCUACUCCACUGGAUUUAUAAUUUGAUCUAACAGCUUGGAUUUUGGCCUGAAUA